rnacentral:rRNA from 1 species
GAGACAGCAGUAGCGCGGGAAUACGUAGGGUGCGAGCGUUAAUCGGAAUUACUGGGCGUAUAGCGUGCGCAGGCGGUUGUGUAAGACAGGUGUGAAAUCCCCGGGCUUAACCUGGGAACUGCGCUCGUGACUGCACAGCUAGAGUAUGGCAGAGGGGGGUGGAAUUCCACGUGUAGCAGUGAAAUGCGUAGAGAUGUGGAGGAACACCGAUGGCGAAGGCAGCCCCCUGGGCCAAUACUGACGCUCAUGCACGAAAGCGUGGGGAGCAAACAGGAUUAGAGACCCCAGUAGUCCCUGUCUCUUAUACA